AUUGAACGCUGGCGGCAGGCUUAACACAUGCAAGUCGAGCGGUAACAGGUCUUCGGAUGCUGACGAGCGGCGGACGGGUGAGUAACGCGUAGGAACCUGCCUGGUAGUGGGGGAUAGCCCGGCGAAAGCCGGAUUAAUACCGCAUACGCUCUACGGAGGAAAGGGGGCUUCGGCUCCCGCUAUCAGAUGGGCCUGCGUAGGAUUAGCUAGUUGGUAGGGUAAAGGCCUACCAAGGCGACGAUCCUUAGCUGGUCUGAGAGGAUAAUCAGCCACACUGGGACUGAGACACGGCCCAGACUCCUACGGGAGGCAGCAGUGGGGAAUAUUGGACAAUGGGGGAAACCCCGAUCCAGCCAUGCCGCGUGUGUGAAGAAGGCCUUAGGGUUGUAAAGCACUUUCAGUGGGGAGGGAGGCUUGGUGGUUAAUACUCAUCAGGAUUGACGUUACCCACAGAAGAAGCACCGGCUAACUCCGUGCCAGCCGCCGCAGUAA
rnacentral:rRNA from 1 species